rnacentral:misc_RNA from 1 species
GUAGGUGAACCUGCGGAGGGAUCAUUACAAACGUUCCAAACGUUUAACAAACCAAACAUCCGUGAACUAAAACCUCCCUUGACAGUCUAGAAGCAACGAUCAGCUAAGGUGGAGUGGGAUACGGAAUACGACUCGCUGUUAAAGCGAGAGACGAUUCCCCCCACUGCGACGCGUUCUAGGAGUCCUCGAGCUCCAUUCUACUGUUGAGUGUCUUUUGCCACCACCUGGGAGACUAUGAUCUCCGUCUCUC